CGACGACGAUGAUGAUGAUGAUGGUGGUGAUGAUGAUGAUGAUGAUAAUGCUGAUAUGUUUUUUACUAAAUCAUCAUCAUCAUUUCUGACUAGACCACUUUCGCCAUCAUCAUCAUUAUCAACAUCAUCAACGUCAUCAUCAUCAUCAUCAUCAACG
rnacentral:pre_miRNA from 1 species